GAAGCAUCAGACACUGGGGGGCGCUUCUUGAACAGGCACUGGGCUAGACAGCCCAGACCUCGCGGAAACAAAGCGGGAAGGGGCCGCUCCUGGGGAGUUUUUCCCAGCUUCCCUGGGCCGGUGAGGGGUCCUGGCGUCCUGAACUGGAGAUGCUCCUUAGAGGGCACUGCUUCAGCCACCCCUGCCUUAGCAUACAUACGGGUCCCACAGGGGUCCUUCGACACCAGCUCAUCGUCUGGGUUCCACCAUCCACCCACGCACUCAUUUGGCAGCUAUCAACGGAGUAUUCACAGUACGCUGCUCACAGUUCUAACCGCGGAGGAUAGAGUUGAGGCCCACACGACAGCCCCUGCUCUCACAGAACUGAUGUCUCUAGAAGAGUCUUCCCUCAGUGAGAACGUUCUGAUUUCUAGAACAUUCUUUCUUCUGAUGAGUGAACAGCCUCACCGGAACUUCCCCAUCCUCCUGGCUUGGUUCCUGAAGUGGCCCAAGGCUGCCUUCUCCCUCCCGUGGGUGAACAGGGUCACUGCUUCCUCUCUUGUCCAGGCCCCCUGGCCUGACCCUGAGUCCCGGGCGUAACGGCGUUGUUGAACCACCACAACCCCAGGCGGCGCCUUCCUCUUGGCCCAGGGGCUCUCUUGGGGACAGUGUGCAGUACUCCCCAAGGGGGCUUUGCUGUGCAAAAGCAGCCCCUGCCGAUGCUGCGGCUCCCGUGGAUGGAGCACUGCCGUGGGAACAGAGUUGGAACUCAUCCAAAAGAAUAAAAGACAACUGUGUUGGAAGAUUGCCAAGGUUUGUAGCUGUGCCACCGCAGACUUCAGAGAUGAACACUGCCUUGGAGACGAGGAGGAUUCAAGUUGCAGAAGCAUUUAGAAACCUCAAACUUGAGACACGGUGGGAAAUCAGGAAGACAUGAGGCUUUGCUCAACACUGGAGAACACCAGUUCUUUUCAGUUUGUAUGCAUCUUUAUCAGGGUCUAUGCGAUUCUGAGGCAAGAGGCAUGAAACAACUCUGAGGAAGCAGGUCGGAGAGCAGCUGACCUGGUGAUCAAGGAUACCAGGCCGGGUGCGGUGGCUCACGCUUGUCAUCCCAGCACUUUGGGAGGCCCAGGCUGGUGGAUCACAAAGUCAGGAGUUCAAGACCAGCCUGGCCAACAUGGUGAAACCCCGUCUCUACUAAAAAUAAAAAAAAUUAGCUGGGCCUGGUGGUGGGUGC
rnacentral:lncRNA from 10 species